rnacentral:misc_RNA from 1 species
GAUGAAGAACGCAGCAAAAUGCGAUACUUGGUGUGAAUUGCAGAAUCCCGUGAACCAUCGAGUUUUUGAACGCAAGUUGCGCCCGAAGCCUUUUGGCCGAGGGCACGUCUGCCUGGGCGUCACGCAUCGCGUCGCCCCCCACAAUUCUCCGUAAAGGGAACAUGUGUUUUGGGGGCGGAUAUUGGUCUCCCGUGCUCAUGGCGUGGUUGGCCGAAAUAGCAGUCCUUUCGAUGGACGCACGAACUAGUGGUGGUCGUAAAAACCCUCGUCUUUUGUUUCGUGCUGUUGCUCGCAAGGUAAACUCUUUAAAAACCCCAAUGUGUCGUCUCUUGACGACGCUUCGACCGCGACCCCAGGUCAGGCGGGACUACCCGCUGAGUUUAAGCAUAUCAAUAAGCGGAGGA